UCAUCAUGAUUAUAAUCCUUGGUUUUCCAUGGACUUCACAUGUAGCACACAAUUUGCACUCCAAAAGUGUCCCUUGAAAACCCCAAAUAUAACUCCACCACACGUUACGAAAAAACCAGUCCACUAACCCUGCCCUGCUUCGUCCCCGCUAUUCUUUUGCUAGGUUUUAAUUUUCCCUUUCUGCCACUUUCAUCGUGAUUCACACACUCUAUGCCCUAUAUAAUUCAAUUUCUCCUUUGAUUUUUCGUUUUGGACCUGGUACAUGUCCACUCACCCCAUAAAAUAAUAUCUGCCUUUAGCACGAAACAAUUUCUAGUAAAAAUAAUCCAAAAUUAACACCCCUAAAUCAAAACCCCCAGUGCAAAAAUUAAAUCUUGAUCUUGAGUUCUAAGGUAACACACCUACAAAUUCCUUUCUGUAAAUUUAUGAUUUAUCUUAGGCAUGCCAUUGUUAUGUUCUAUAUAGAUAUAGAUACAUACACAUAUAUGUAACAUUGGCAAAAAUGUCGCCUGUGCGUGUAACCUGCUAGAGCUCCUUUCAUGCCCAAAAAUGGUGAUCCAGAAGGAAAAAAAUAAUACCAUUUUUCCCAAUUAAUUUGAUUUAAUCUUAAAUAUUCUUUCUUGGGUUUUCAUUAUGAAAACUCAAUUUUUCGUACAGUGGGUUCAGAGAAUUUGGAACUCCUAUGCUAUUUUUGGUGUAUACUUUCUUUUUACAUUUUCUGAUCCUGGCUAAAUUAUUCUUUAAUUUUGCUUGGGUUUUUUAAUUUUAACUUUAAUUAGGCUCUUUUAGGGUUUAAUUUGAUGCNNNNN
rnacentral:lncRNA from 1 species